UACAGAGGUCUCAAGCGUUGUUCGGAUUCACUGGGCGUAAAGGGUGUGUAGGAGGUCGGGUAAGUCAGCUGUGAAAUACUUGCGCUUAACGUGAGAACUGCAGUUGAUACUGCCUGGCUAGAAGAUCGGAGGGGCGAGCGGAAUUCUCGGUGUAGCAGUGAAAUGCGUAGAUAUCGAGAGGAACACCAGUGGCGUAGGCGGCUCGCUAGACGGUUCUUGUCUCUGAAACACGAAAGCUAGGGGCGCACACGCG
rnacentral:rRNA from 1 species